CUCAGUGGUCAAAAUACCACUGCUGGUCAGAAGCACGUUUUUGGACUUGUCAGUGCUUUUGUUGUUGUACCAUCUGGAAGCAUCCAGCAUAUGGCCCAGAGAGGAUCAGCUUUUCAGCCUUUAAUGUAAAGUCUUUCCAUAGAUUUGGGCUAAUCGUAAGAAGCAUAAGUCUCUUGACACAGAAUAGGAAGAACACAGAAAAAAACCCAGUAAUUUCUCUAUUUUUCUACAGGGUCAGAGCACCGUAGGAAAAUUCAGUUUGGAAGAGACCUCAGUUUGGAAGAGACCUUUAGCUCACAGCAGGGCCAACUCUGAUGUCAAGUGAGAUUGCUCAAGUUUAGGUCCUUGCCUCUCAUCUUCCAACCAAUGUGCUACUGCAAAGAAUCUGGAUUAGUCUUCUUGAUUACUACCUCAUAGGUACACAGUGGGCUGCUGAAGACAUUGGAAGGAAAUUUCUAACUAUCAAAGAAGCAAGAUUUUGAAACAACUUUUUGAGGGGACAAGGAAAAAAAUUAGUCACCUUUAAAAAAGAUUUAUAAUCAGUCUAAAUUAAGGAGUAUUAAUCUUGCAAUAAAAGAAGACAAAAUGUAUUGA